GUACUUACUUGAGCAUCACAUAUACUAAAACUGGAACCAUACAGAGAAAAUUAGCAUGGCCCCUGGGCAAGGAUGACAUUAAUAUUUGUGAAGCAUUCCAUAUUUAA
ensembl:snRNA U6 U6 spliceosomal RNA